UACGUAGGGUGCGAGCGUUAAUCGGAAUUACUGGGCGUAAAGCGUGCGCAGGCGGCGCGUUAAGACAGGUGUGAAAGCCCCGAACUUAACUUGGGAAUUGCGCUUGUGACUGGCGUGCUGGAGUGUGGCAGAGGGAGGUGGAAUUCCACGUGUAGCAGUGAAAUGCGUAGAGAUGUGGAGGAACACCGAUGGCGAAGGCAGCCUCCUGGGCCAGCACUGACGCUCAUGCACGAAAGCGUGGGGAGCAAACAGG
rnacentral:rRNA from 1 species